rnacentral:rRNA from 1 species
GCAGUCGAACGAUCGCAAGAUAGUGGCGCACGGGUGAGGAACACGUAGCUAACCUGCCUUUGGGUCUGGGAUAACGUCGCGAAAGCGACGCUAAGACCGGAUAAGCUCCCGGGUUGUAGAGACCAGAGAGAAAAGGGGCAAGACGCCUGAAGAGGGGGCUGCGGCGCAUCAGCUAGUUGGUGGGGUAAAGGCCUACCAAGGCAACGACGCGUAAGGGGUCUGAGAGGAUGAUCCCUCACACUGGGACUGAGACACGGCCCAGACUCCUACGGGAGGCAGCAGUGAGGAAUAUUGCACAAUGGGGGCAACCCUGAUGCAGCGACGCCGCGUGGGUGAUGACGGCCUUCGGGUUGUAAAGCCCUUUUGCCACUGACGAGAACGGACGGUAGGUGGCGAAUAAGCCUCGGCUAACUACGUGCCAGCAGCCGCGGUAAAACGUAGGAGGCGAGCGUUAUCCGGAGUUACUGGGCGUAAAGCGUGCGCAGGCGGUGCCAUAAGUCAGGUGUGAAAGGUUCCGGCUCAACCGGGAAAACGCGCUUGAGACUGUGGGACUAGAGUGGGAUAGAGGGACGUGGAAUUCCGGGUGGAGCGGUGAAAUGUGUAGAGAUCCGGAGGAACACCAGAGGCGCAAGCGGCGUCCUGGGUCCCAACUGACGCUGAGGCACGAAAGCUUGGGGAGCGAACGGGAUUAGAGACCCCGGUAGUCCAAGCCGUAAACGAUGCAGACUCGGUGUCCACUCUCGCAAGGGAGGGGGCGCCACAGCUAACGCGAUAAGUCUGCCGCC